GUGCACCAGGCGAGAAUCCUCUGCAAUACACGAAAGUGUGACGGGCCAUCCCGAGUGCCGUCCGCUGAGGACGGCUUUUCCCCAGUGUACACAGCUGGGGGAAUAAGGAGAGGGCAAGCCUGGUGUCAGCCGCCGCGGUAAUACCAGCUCUCCGAGUGGUGGGGACGCUUAUUGGGCCUAAAGCAUCCGUAGCCGGCUGGGCAAGUCCUCCGUUAAAUCCAACGAUUCAAUCGUUGGGCUGCGGGGGAUACUGUCCAGC
rnacentral:rRNA from 1 species